rnacentral:rRNA from 1 species
AGCAGCCGCGGUAAUUCCAGCUCCAAUAGCGUAUAUUAAAGUUGUUGCAGUUAAAAAGCUCGUAGUUGAAUUUCGGGAUCAAUAUUUCGGUCAUGCCGUUGGUAUGCACUGUUAUCAUUGAUUUCUCACCUUCUAAAGAACCGUAAUGCCAUUAAUUUGGUGUUACGGGGAAUUAGGACUGUUACCUUGAAAAAAUUAGAGUGUUUAAAGCAGGCUCACGCUUGAAUACAUUAGCAUGGAAUAAUGAAAUAGGACAUCCGAUUCUAUUUUGUUGGUUUCUAGGAUCGAUGUAAUGAUUAAUAGGGAUAGUUGGGGGCAUUAGUAUUCAAUUGUCAGAGGUGAAAUUCUUGGAUUUAUUGAAGACUAACUACUGCGAUAGCAUUUGCCAAGGAUGUUUUCAUUAAUCAAGAACGAAAGUUAGGGGAUCGAAGACGAUCAGAUACCGUCGUA